rnacentral:rRNA from 1 species
AAUCACUUGUCUUUUAAAUGGAGACCUGUAUGAAUGNNAUAACGAGGGCUUAGCUGUCUCCUUUUUCAAGUCAAUGAAAUUGAUCUCCCCGUGCAGAAGCGGGGAUACNNACAUAAGACGAGAAGACCCUAUGAAGCUUUAGACACCAAAGCAGCCCAAGUAAACACCCCCUCAUAAGGGACUAAACCAUGUGAAUCCUGCCCUAAUGUCUUUGGUUGGGGCGACCGCGGGGGAUAAAAAGCCCCCAUGUGGAAUGAGAUUAAUUCUCUUAAAACUAAGAGCUACCGCUCUAAGAAACAGAACUUCUGACCUAAAGAUCCGGCAAUGCCGAUCAGCGGACCGAGUUACUCUNGGGAUAACAGCGCAAUCCUCUUUUAGAGCCCA